rnacentral:rRNA from 1 species
GACGAACGCUGGCGGCGUGCUUAACACAUGCAAGUCGAACGGUGAAGCGCCUUCCUUUUUGGUUGGUGUGGAGGAGAGGCGAACGGGUGAGAAACACGUGAGUAACCUGCCCCCUUCUUCUGGAUAACCGCAUGAAAGUGUGGCUAAUACGGGAUAUCCUGGGUCUGUCGCAUGAUGGGUCUGGGUAAGAUAUUGUGUCUGUGGGGGAUGGGCUCGCGGCCUAUCAGCGUGUUGGUGGGGUGAUGGCCUACCAAGGCGGUGACGGGUAGCCGGCCUGAGAGGGGGGGCGGUCACACUGGGACUGAGAGCCGGCUCGGACUCGUACGGGGGGCAGCAGUGGGGAGUAUUGCACAAGGGGGGCAAGUCUGAUGAAGCGACGCCGCGUGAGGGAUGGAGGCCGUCGGGGUGAGAACGUCUUUCGGGAGUGAAGCCGGCCUGCCUCGUUUGUGGGUGGGUUGACGGUAGCUGGAUAAGAAGCGCCGGCUAACUACGUG